ACUGUGCUCUCUCCCAGUGCGAUCUCUCUCUUUUGGAGGACCUUACUGGGAUUCAUUCUGUUCUUUGGUUUAAAUGAAAAUGUACCAAAGCUAAUCUAAAACAUUACAACAAAUCAGGUAAUGUCACUUCAGCAUUAAGGCCUAAAGAAGUGUCUUAAUGGUUAAAAUCCAAAGCAUGUUUUGAUGGCUUCCUAACUGAUCGCCUGUUUUGUUUUGGUUCUUUUUAACAAUUGUACAUUUAGAAACUGGGAUCUCCGUUGUGAAAUCGAGUACACGUGCUGACAAUGAGUGAUAUUUUAAUUUACAAAGCACAUUGUGUAAAUACUCACCAAAUCUCACUUUUAACAUCCUUAGAGUCUUUCCUACAUAUUGGAGACCACAAGCACUUUCCAAUAAAUAUAUAUUCUGUUUAAAAUGCCUAAAAACAAGUUUUUGUUGAUCUGGUGAAAAGAAAGAUCAGUUUGGCUUUUUAACCUUUUUUGUAGAUAUUUUACAGGUUUAUAUUUUGGAGUUAUUUUAUCUCCACAAUACUUAAUAAUUAUGGUUGUCUUAAUUUGUGAUAGUUGAAACUAUAAACUUUAUUUUCGUGCGAUAAUAAAAUAAUGUGGUAUUUUUAUCUGCUCUUUUAUUUUUUAUUUGAUAAGGCAUACUUUCUCUGUACAUCUUAAUUUGGUUUUAUUGCAAAUUGCUUAAUGUUUAAUUAUGUCUAUUUAUUAUGAAGCUGUGAAUUUAAAUGAUCAAUGAAUGGACUUUUUAAAAAUGAAGUUGUUAUGGUGCCCCGAGGCACUCUUACCUGAAGAGGUUAUACUGUUCUCAAACAGUUUAACCCCCAAGAUGCCUCCAGUUGCGAUGUCCACUACUCAGCUAGAGGUUUGAAGAAAAAAAAACCUUAGGAAAUUAUUAAAGCAGAUAUCACAUAUUUAUUGUUUUUACUCUAACGAAUCCUUUUUAGCCUUAAGGGUAAUAUCUUCUCUAAACAGAUGACUGCUUGUCCUUUGCACAGUCCUGUUAAUAAACAUUGUUGAAUAUUGGUUUUAAACUGUGCUUACUAGUUAUAGUGAUAUAAAAUAUGUUCUUCACGACGAAGAAUCACCGAGGACAAUCUUCAUUAUUUUUAGGUUUUUUUUUGUCUUAUGCCUGUUGUCAUUGUAUCAGAUAUUUGCAAGUGUCUUCCUCAUCUCUUUUAAAUAGCAAAUUACAAAAAAGGAAAAAAAAGAAAAACGGUGCUGCAUUCAUCACUGUGAUGUUCUUCCAGCGCAAUUCAUGGUAGUUUGAUUUCCUUUGCACUACAAUAUUCAUCAUUCUAAGUUAGGCAAAGUCUGGCUGUGCAACUCAACUCUCAACUAACCUCUCAACUAAACAUCAUGGCACCUUGUACAUUUAAAUGCCGCAGGCCCCCCCAACAACAACCCUGGCACACCAAGCUCACUCGAUACCUCCAAAAAUGCUCCAGAACUGCUGAACGCUGUUGGAGAAAGUCUCACUGUGCAUCUGACUUUCUCCACUAUAAAUUUAUGCUGAGCUCAUACAGCUUGGCUCUUUCCUCUGCAAAAGUUAAUUACUUCAAUACCCUCAUAACCACACUCUCCCGCCAACCCAAACGACUAUUUAACACAUUUAACUCUCUUCUUCGCCCUGCUGUUCCUCCUCCACCUACUAACUUGACCGCCUCAGACUUUGCAACUCACUUCACUGACAAGAUCUCUACAAUCAAAGAAGAGAUCUCUGAUCUUUCUUCUUCCCCUUACAAUACUUCCCCUAACUUCACGCCCUCUGCUGUUCUAUGUUCAUUCGCACCCGCUACAUUGGAAGAGGCUUCUGCUCUGCUCCAGUCCUCCCGCCCCACCACCUGCUCCCCAGAUCCAAUUCCCUCGCAUCUCAUCCGUGUCUUCUUCUCUUUCUCCACCUCUCACUAAAAUUCUCAAUCUCUCCUCUCUUUUAUAUUUACAUUGCCCUUCAAACAUGCAACUGUAACCCCAUCCAACUAUCGUCCUAUCUCGCUACUACCUUUUGCAUCCAAGAUCCUUGAAAAAAUUGUGUAUGCGAGAUUGACAGGCUUCCUUGAGUCCAACUCUCUGCUAGACCCGCUUCAGUCUGGUUUCCGCGUUAAGCACUCUGUAGAAACGGCACUGACCAAAGUAUCCAAUGAUCUACUCGCUGCAAAAUCUCCUGGUCACUACUCUAUCCUAAUUCUCCUUGACCUGUCUGUGGCUUUUGACACUGUUGAUCAUCAACAGCUUCU
rnacentral:lncRNA from 1 species